GCCGCGGUAGCUCAGCUGGGAGAGCGUUAGACUGAAGCUUAGCGAUCCCCGCUCGGUAGCAAUCUACAGGUCACCUGUUCAAGCCAGGUUCGUGGCA
rnacentral:tRNA from 1 species